CGGGAUUUCAUUCUUCGGAAUGAUUGAGAGUGGCGCACGGGUGCGUAACGCGUAUGCAACCUACCUGUUACAGGGAGAUAGCCCGGGGAAACUCGGAUUAAUAUCCCAUAGUAUUAUUUUACUGCAUGGUAGAAUGAUUAAAGCCUUCGGGUGGUAACAGACGGGCAUGCGUAGGAUUAGCUAGUUGNNGNNNNNACGGCUCACCAAGGCGACGAUCCUUAGGGGUUCUGAGAGGAAGGUCCCCCACACUGGCACUGAGAUACGGGCCAGACUCCUACGGGAGGCAGCAGUAGGGAAUAUUGGUCAAUGGGCGAGAGCCUGAACCAGCCAUGCCGCGUGCAGGAAGACGGCGUUCUGCGUUGUAAACUGCUUUUAUCUGGGAAGAAAAAGCCCUUGCGAGGGAAAUUGCCGGUACCAGAGGAAUAAGCACCGGCUAACUCCGUGCCAGCAGCCGCGGUAAUACGGAGGGUGCAAGCGUUGUCCGGAUUUAUUGGGUUUAAAGGGUGCGUAGGCGGCCAAUUAAGUCAGUGGUGAAAGUUUCCGGCUCAACCGGGAGACUGCCAUUGAUACUGAUUGGCUUGAGUUAUGGAGGGGUACAUGGAAUUUACGGUGUAGCGGUGAAAUGCAUAGAUACCGUAAGGAACACCGAUAGCGAAGGCAUUGUACUGGCCAUAAACUGACGCUGANGCACGAAAGCGUGGGUAGCGAACAGGAUUAGAUACCCUGGUAGUCCACGCCGUAAACGAUGAUCAC
rnacentral:rRNA from 1 species